rnacentral:misc_RNA from 1 species
ACGAGUUAGGGUCUUCUCGGCCCGACCUCCCAACCCUAUGUUUAUUACACCUUGUGUUGCUUCGGUAGGCCUGGUUUUUGACCUACCGGAGGGCCGUGAAACGUCCUCUGGAGAGUGCCUACCGACAGCCCCCAACCAAAAUUCUUGAACAAAACAUGUCUUGUCUAAGUAAAGCAAAUAAAUAAAAGCA